AGCCCGUGGUGAGGACACCUUCUCAAUAGAUCCUUGUAUCUCUCCCAUGCAUCGUAGAGUAUUUCUAGAUCCAUCUGCACAAAAGAAGAGAUAUCAUUACGUAAUU
rnacentral:snoRNA from 1 species